rnacentral:sRNA from 1 species
GCUGGGCGCUGUGGUGCAUGCCUAUAAUCCCAGCAACUGGGGAGGCUGAGACAGGAGAAUUGCAUGUUUGAGACUAGGCCCAGCAACUUAGCAAGAUCCUGUCUCAA